AACACGCCAGUCAGGCGAGCCGCUUCGCAGCGACGAAUGCUGCGGCGUCUGCGCUGACCGCUUCCGAGUCGAAAUCACGCCAACGAUUUACUAUUCCGCGCAACAACGUUUUAUAACAUGCGCCAUUUCGAGGUCACUUUAUUCUAUAAGUGAUUUCGUGUCACAAACAAAUUGUAGCCGAUUUAUGUGCCGCCGUCAGCGACGAAAGAGGCCAGCGUCUCCACCAGGG
rnacentral:lncRNA from 1 species